GGGCUGGGGACUGCCAGCGGCCGCUGCCCUUCCCACCGUCUCCCCGGGAGCUCGCGGAAGCCCAUGAGGCCGGCACUGCGACGGUGCCCGUCCUGUGGAGCAAAGAGCAGGCUUGGAGAGAAGGGCCCCCAGUCUUCCAGAAGGCUCUGACAGCUGUGAGCAGAGCUCCACCCACUUCUCUGCAAGCAGCCCCUGCGUGUCCAAUCCCGUCUGCAGCGCUGGACUGGCCAGGCUCACAAUGCCUGCAAGACGGCAGAGCCCUCCCACCCAGCUGGGCCACCAGCCCCAACCCCUGCCAGCCCAGUGACCCAGAGCGGCCGGUGGCAGGAGGGGGCUGCUGAGGCUCUGAUGGCAGAGGAACAGGGCUGGAGGCUCCCACGGCGCGCAGCCCCCGCCCAGAAGGACCCUCGCAGGAGGGACCAGCUGGUGAAAUCUCGCUAUAGGUGAUGCUGACCCUGGGCAGCGGCUCUAGAAGGGCUCUGCUGUUGCCUGCUUGGCCCCUCCUCCCUCCGGCCGCUCCACCCUCGGAGCCCCUCUUCCUGGAGCCCCGGCUCCCCCUCCACUUCAUGGUUUGCAUCAGAGUCGUCCUGUUUCGACACCGAGUCACUUGGCCUUCGCCGCUCAUCAUCACAGCCACUGACUGAACUGUCCGAUGACCAUCUACUUACACGCGUGUUGUUAACUGAGCACCUGCUCCGCGUAGGUGUCAGAAGGCCCUUGCACGGAGGAGGAAACUGAGGCUUUCAGCGGUCGUGAGACUCACUGUGGGGCCCACCCACUGCCCAGACUGGACGCCCACAUCCCACGGGUCCUCAAUCCCUUCUGCUAAUUCCUCCCAAACCCCUCUCCCCAUCACCACUGGUGUCCUGUCUGUGCCACCUCUCAGGGGCCGCUCUGGCCCUUAACCCAUUCUCCGCACAGCAGCCUGAGGGAUUGUCUUAAGAAACAAAUCCGAUCCGGGGAGCCUGGGUGGCUCAGUCGGUUAAGCAUCUGACCCUCGAUUUUGGCUCAGGUCAUGAUCUCACGGUUCCUGAGAUCGAGACCCACGUCGGGCUCCGUGCUGCUUGGGAUUCUCCCUCUCUCCCUGCCCCUCCCCGGCUUGUGCCCUCUCUCUCUCUCUCAAAAUAAACAAAUAAAAAUUAAAAAAUAAAGAUUACAUUAAAAAAAAAAAAAAAAGAAACUUGAUCCUCCAGUAAGUACCUUGUGAUGGUGAGAAUAAAAUGAGACUCUUCACCGCUGUCUUCAGGCCCUGCCACUAAGGUCACCAAUGGGCCCAACCCAGACCCACAGGUGCGUCCCACUUGGCCUCCACUGUGCUGUCUCUUGCUCCUUUGGUCUGGUUGUGUUCCCAAGUUUUUGAAUGAAAUGCCUCUUCUCUUUAAAAGAUGGAUUUCAAGCUUCUUGUUUAAAAAAAUGGAAAGCUAGGGGCUCCUGGGUGGCUCAGUCAGUUGAGCAUCCGACUUCGGCUCAGGUCGUGAUCUCAAGGUC